rnacentral:rRNA from 1 species
GGAAUUUUCCACAAUGGACGAAAGUCUGAUGGAGCAACGCCGCGUGCAGGAUGAAUGCCUUCGGGUUGUAAACUGCUUUUAUAUGUGACGAUUUUGACGGUAGCAUAUGAAUAAGGAUCGGCUAACUCCGUGCCAGCAGCCGCGGUCAUACGGAGGAUCCAAGCGUUAUCCGGAAUUACUGGGCGUAAAGAGUUGCGUAGGCGGUCGUGUAAGUUGGUAGUGAAAGCGUGGGGCUCAACCUCAUAUCCAU